rnacentral:tRNA from 75 species
GCGGGAGUAGUUCAACUGGUUAGAGCACCGCCCUGUCAAGGCGGAAGUUGCGGGUUCGAGCCCCGUCUCUCGCG